rnacentral:rRNA from 1 species
AUUGAACGCUGGAGGCAGGCCUAACAACUGCAAGUCGAACGAGUGGCGGACGGGUGAGUAAUGUCUGGGACACUGCCCGAUGGAGGGGGAUAACUAAUGGAAACGGUAGCUAAUACCGCAUACCAUCGGAUGUGCCCAGAUGGGAUUAGCUAGUAGGUGGGGUAACGGCUCACCUAGGCGACGAACCAUAGCUGGUCUGAGAGGAUGACCAGCCACACUGGAACUGAGACACGGUCCAGACUCCUACGGGAGGCAGCAGGGGGGAAUAUUGCACAAUGGGCGCAAGCCUGAUGCAGCCAUGCCGCGUGUAUGAAGAAGGCCUUCGGGUUGUAAAGUACUUUCAGCGGGGAGGCGUUACCCGCAGAAGAAGCACCGGCUAACUCCGUGCCAGCAGCCGCGGUAAUAC